AUGGAAGGGCCAUCGCUCAACGGAUAAAAGGUACUCCGGGGAUAACAGGCUGAUACCGCCCAAGAGUUCAUAUCGACGGCGGUGUUUGGCACCUCGAUGUCGGCUCAUCACAUCCUGGGGCUGAAGUAGGUCCCAAGGGUAUGGCUGUUCGCCAUUUAAAGUGGUACGCGAGCUGGGUUUAGAACGUCGUGAGACAGUUCGGUCCCUAUCUGCCGUGGGCGCUGGAGAACUGAGGGGGGCUGCUCCUAGUACGAGAGGACCGGAGUGGACGCAUCACUGGUGUUCGGGUUGUCAUGCCAAUGGCACUGCCCGGUAGCUAAAUGCGGAAGAGAUAAGUGCUGAAAGCAUCUAAGCACGAAACUUGCCCCGAGAUGAGUUCUCCCUGACCCUUUAAGGGUCCUGAAGGAACGUUGAAGACGACGACGUUGAUAGGCCGGGUGUGUAAGCGCAGCGAUGCGUUGAGCUAACCGGUACUAAUGAACCGUGAGGCUUAACCUUACAACGCCGAAGGUGUUU
rnacentral:rRNA from 3 species